rnacentral:rRNA from 1 species
CCUACGGGAGGCAGCAGUGAGGAAUAUUGGUCAAUGGACGAGAGUCUGAACCAGCCAAGUAGCGUGAAGGAUGACUGCCCUAUGGGUUGUAAACUGCUUGUAUAUGGGAAUAAAACGUUCCACGUGGGGGAUUGUGUAUGUACCAUAUGAAUAAGGAGCGGCUAACUCCGUGCCAGCAGCCGCGGUAAUACGGAGGAUCCGAGCGUUAUCCGGAUUUAUUGGGUUUAAAGGGAGCGUAGGUGGAUUGUUAAGUCAGUUGUGAAAGUUUGCGGCUCAACCCUAAAAUUGCAGUUGAAACUGGCAGUCUUUAGUACAGUAGAGGUGGGCGGCAUUCGUGGUGUAGCGGU